UACGGAGGGUGCAAGCAUUAAUCGGAUUUAUUGGGCGUAAAGGGCGCGUAGGCGGAAAAAUAAGUCGGGCGUGAAAUCCCGGGGCUCAACCUCGGAACAGCGCUUGAAACUAUUUUCCUUGAGGGUAGGCGGAGAAAACGGAAUUCCACAAGUAGCGGUGAAAUGCGUAGAUAUGUGGAAGAACACCUGUGGCGAAGGCGGUUUUCUAGCUUACUCCUGACGCUGAGGCGCGAAAGCAAGGGGAUCAAAC
rnacentral:rRNA from 1 species